rnacentral:rRNA from 1 species
UGGGGAAUUUUGGACAAUGGGGGAAACCCUGAUCCAGCCAUCCCGCGUGUGCGAUGAAGGCCUUCGGGUUGUAAAGCACUUUUGGCAGGAAAGAAACGUCGCGGGUUAAUACCCCGCGAAACUGGCGGUACCUGCAGAAUAAGCACCGGCUAACUACGUGCCAGCAGCCGCGGUAAUACGUAGGGUGCAAGCGUUAAUCGGAAUUACUGGGCGUAAAGCGUGCGCAGGCGGUUCGGAAAGAAAGAUGUGAAAUCCCAGAGCUUAACUUUGGAACUGCAUUUUUAACUACCGGGCUAGAGUGUGUCAGAGGGAGGUGGAAUUCCGCGUGUAGCAGUGAAGUGCGUAGAUAUGCGGAGGAACACCGAUGGCGAAGGCAGCCUCCUGGGAUAACACUGACGCUCAUGCACGAAAGCGUGGGGAGCAAACAGGAUUAGAUACCCUGGUAGUCCACGCCCUAAACGAUGUCAACUAGCUGUUGGGGCCUUCGGGCCUUGGUAGCGCAGCUAACGCGUGAAGUUGACCGCCUGGGGAGUACGGUCGCAAGAUU